UCGGAUGUGGGAGUGGGAGAUGCACAAUGUGAGACGAUGACGUGUCGGUUUCUCAGCUCGCCGUCGCCGUGUACGACUGGGCAUAUCAGGACUUGGGCACCUCAAAACCCCGAUUCUGCUCAGCCUCUGCUCGCCGUCGCCGUUGCUCUUUUCCCCAAGUCUGAAAACCCCAAUUCUCCUCCUGUUGCUCUUCCCCAAGUCUGCUCUGCUCCGCCUCCCUAGCUCAGCGCCUCUGCCUACAUUGUGAAGCUAGGACUAGCUAGGAAGACAGGCUUGGAGUUCGAGAGCCCGGCCGCUCCCAUGGCCGCCGUCGACGCGGUGAUGCCGGCGCCACCUCCGCCUCCGCCGGUGCCGGUGGCCCGCAUCAGCCGGCUCGCCCUGGCCGCCGCCGACGCCGUGUUGUGCCUCUGGAUCGCAAGUCUGUGGAUCUUGUUCGCGAGCUUUGCCGCCGUGCUCAUCGGGCGCCUCGCCUGCGGCUGGGGAUGCCCCGUGGUCGACGCCGCGUGGACGGCCGUCCUUGUCUCCCUGCUCUUCGUUGCGAUCGUCUGGCCCCUCGCCGCGCUGCUGCUGAGUAAAUUCGUGGAGCCCUUCUACAUCGACCAACUAGAGAAGGGAGCGGCGGCGCUGGAACCUCCGAGCGACGCCGUCAUAAAUGCACACCUCAUCGCCACUAUGGCUUUCGCCUCCCUCGAAGUCUAUGGCUUUCUGCUGAAGCUAUUGGCUUUGGCUGCCAAGGACUCUGCAACGGGCAGGAUUGCCUCUGUCAUCAUGGAUGUGCCGCUCUUGGGCAUCAGCGUUAUGUGCUGCUUGGUUUCCAUUCCGGGUUUGGCAGUGAUGGUGUGGAGGAUGAGACGGCACGGCAGCGCAUCUGUGGUACCCAUCUGAACGGAGUGAUCAAGUCUGGUCAGUGAAAGUGGAGAAGUGUAUGGUUGCAAAUCAGACUGGCAACAAGUUCUAGAAUUGUGUUUUGCAACUUCACUUUAUAUUAUGCGAUGUGAGUGUGGCUAAUCUGUGCUAAUUUUUGUUUGUCCUCAAACGACUAAUAGCUGAUUCUGGCCGCUAAUUUUUGUUUGUCCUCAAACGACUAAUAGGUGAUUCUGGCAGUACAAAAAGGCCAAUUUUUUCCUACUUUUAUAAAUUGAAGAACGUCUGCAUUAUGUUAAGUAGCUUGGUUACACCAGCCUAUACAGAGUGCCAACCAUUAGUUGCAAAUUCGCUGAUCUACUCCAGCAAAUCCGUAGCAUCUUCAAUUAGUAUUCUGAAGUGGUGAACUGGUUAUCCGUGGACUCAACAUGGCUGUUAAUUAACCUUUUAUAUAAAGGUGGAAGUGAUCAUUAGGCCAGGACCUUACCAUCAGCUGUUCUUCUAUCAAGUGUCUGUUUUGAGUGAGCAGCCUUGCAAACAAGUUGCGCUUUAGUCAAAGCCAUUGAAGAGAAGAAAGAGCUGUGAAGUCAGGCAACUACUACAAAUACCGACUCUCUGUUCAUGAAUAUAUAUAUGGGUGAUCCUAGAAGAUAAAGUAUUGGAAGGAACAAAUACCACUACAUAUUUUCUGCUUCCUAAAUCUCUACUCCACGAAAUUUAUCUAGGCAUUAGAGUCUGCUGUCAGCAUGAUGAAUUAAGGAAAUUUGAAACUAUGAUGUAGUAUCUAUGACGCAGACAUUAUAUGGAUCUUCCUUAGCUUGCUCCAGAGCUCAUCAAAAUCCAUAUAAUACCAGUGAAAGUACGAAAAAUCAGAGACCUAGUCGAUCGCUUCUGUUUAGGCCAGUGAUGUAGUAAGCUGAGGCAUUAACAAGGCUGUGCCUGUGAACUGUGCUAGAAAGUAGAUUAUUGAUGCAUUGUGAGUUGUAACUUGUACUAUUAAUUGUGUGGUGUGCCUGCACUUCAUGUUUCUGUGUUGCUCUGAACAACUAAAGGAGGUCAUAGAAUUAUCUGUAUGCAGUCAUUGGGUACCUGAAUGUC